CACGUAGGGGGCAAGCGUUGUCCGGAUUUACUGGGCGUAAAGCGCACGUAGGCGGAUCGUUAAGUCGGGGGUGAAAUCCUGGAGCUCAACUCCAGAACUGCCUUCGAUACUGGCGAUCUUGAGUCCGGAAGAGGUGAGUGGAACUCCUAGUGUAGAGGUGGAAUUCGUAGAUAUUAGGAAGAACACCAGUGGCGAAGGCGGCUCACUGGUCCGGUACUGACGCUGAGGUGCGAAAGCGUGGGGAGCAAACAGG
rnacentral:rRNA from 1 species